rnacentral:misc_RNA from 1 species
GAUGAAGAACGUAGCGAAAUGCGAUAAGUAAUGUGAAUUGCAGAAUUCAGUGAAUCAUCGAAUCUUUGAACGCACAUUGCGCCCCUUGGUAUUCCAUGGGGCAUGCCUGUUCGAGCGUCAUUUGUACCUUCAAGCUUUGCUUGGUGUUGGGUGUUUGUCCUGAGGGACUCGCCUUAAAGUGAUUGGCAGCCAGUGUUUGGUUUUGAAGCGCAGCACAAGUCGCGAUUCAAAGCUAUACGCCCGCUUCCACAAGCCUUUUUCACUUUUGACCUCGGAUCAGGUAGGGAUACCCGCUGAACUUAAGCAUAUCAAUAAGCGGAGGA